CGUUUGGAAACGAACGCUAACACCUUAUAUGCCUUUAAGACAAAAGUCUGCAAGGGAAACAUUUAUGGCUCUAGGAUGAGACUGUACGGUAUCAGUUAGUUGGUGAGGUAAUGGCUCACCAAGACAAUGACGCCUAACUGGUUUGAGAGGAUGAUCAGUCACACUGGAACUGAGACACGGUCCAGACUCCUACGGGAGGCAGCAGUGGGGAAUAUUGCACAAUGGAGGAAACUCUGAUGCAGCAACGCCGCGUGGAGGAUGACACUUUUCGGAGCGUAAACUCCUUUUAUAUAGGAAGAUAAUGACGGUACUAUAUGAAUAAGCACCGGCUAACUCCGUGCCAGCAGCCGCGGUAAUACGGAGGGUGCAAGCGUUACUCGGAAUCACUGGGCGUAAAGAGCGUGUAGGCGGAUAAAUAAGUUGGAAGUGAAAUCCUAUGGCUCAACCAUAGAACUGCUUUCAAAACUGUUUAUCUAGAAUAUGGGAGAGGUAGAUGGAAUUUCUGGUGUAGGGGUAAAAUCCGUAGAGAUCAGAAGGAAUACCGAUUGCGAAGGCGAUCUACUGGAACAUUAUUGACGCUGAGACGCGAAAGCGU
rnacentral:rRNA from 1 species